CGUUGUAGCUAUACAAAAGCUGAAGCCCUCUCCCCGCGCAGCACUCGUUGACUGGAUCAGGUGCAUAUAAACUUCGUGUGAAACAUCGGGAGAGACGAAGGGACCCAAGUUACUGAUGGUGCGCCCCAGAAUGGAUAUGAAGAAAACACUGGUGGAUAGAACUUGCCAAUGUCGGUAUUGUGUUAACUUAUGUAUAUAAAUGAUAAAUACUUUUUGUUCAAGCUAAAAAAAAGACCUAUUUCAAUUUUCCAAGAUUGCUUGUAACAUUAUCCUAUGGUAAUCUGAUAUCAAAUAUUUAACUUAACCAAUGCAUUGCUCUUUCUUCUGUGCUUUUUCUCAUUUGCACUUCUUGAGCACGUCGUCUAAGGAUGAGGUAAGUAUAAGCGAAUUACUGGAACUAACAUGCUUUUUGUGGUAAGUAUUUACGCUUUGUGUGAAUCGGGAGUGAGGUGUGCAAGGGGAUGAAUGUGUCAUGAUGUCCGGACUUGUCAUCAAAACUGUAGGGUAAACGUUACAAAUAUAUGAAGCAAUUCACUUAGUGGAGCUGGCAAAUGAAAGGACUUGCCUUAUGACUUUUACUAAAACAGAUCGGGGUGCUUUAUCGUUAUUUAUCAUCGACUAAUAUGCAAUAUAAAAGUCAUAAGGAAUAUCCUUUCACACCCACGCCUGAUAUUGUAGUGAACUAUUUACAUUUAGCAACAACCACUCCAACGCCACCAACGUGUGGCCCCAUGACAGAUGCCUCUCUGGACGAGGACUGCUCCAACGCGCGAUGUGUGGCCGUCAACAGCUCGUGUGUGACGACGUCAGCGGGAAGCCGCAGAUGUGCCUGUGUUAACAAGAACGUGCAGAUAUCAGCUACAGAAUGCUCAUUGGGACCAAGUGUUCUGUCAAGUACACCAAACUACGUCUUCUCCACAAAUCAAUCUAGAACGUCAGUAACUGUGGGAACAAUCAUUUUUGAUGGGCUUAGUACAUUCCCCACAAAUAACUUCUCCAUAGAAGGCGAAGUAUAUCCUGAUGAGAGGAUCCUGGACCUAAGGAGAAACUCGAGCAACAUUGAUGUGGCACUGGUCAAGGAAAUAAGCAAUGCUAAAACAUUUGUGGUGGCGUUACGUGCAACUUCCGGUGAGUUCACUGUGCAGCAGGUUGUGACCGUCAGGAUCACAUCCUCCUCUUUCACACCAGAAAACGUCACAGUUAUGUUGGUGGAGGGAACCAGGAAAGGCACGCUGAUAGCUGACGUGAGGACUAUUGGUAGUUUGGGAGGGUACAGCAACUUCGAAAUGGAGACCACAGAUCAGACAGCAAGGGCCCUGUUCAAUGUGACCACAUCGGGGCAGGUUCUUUGUGGACAAGAUAUAUUUUUGAGUGACUUUACCAAUAACGACACAGUAGCUAAAGAAUAUAUAUUCAGUAUCAAAGCGAAAAAGGGAGGACAGAGAGAAACAACUGCAACCUUUUACAUCUUGUUAUUCAAGAGUACUUUUACAACAACGUUAAGAGAAAAUUGGAAAGGCAAUAUCUUGAGCUAUACUAUAACAAGCUCUAAGUUCCAGGUCGCUAUUAAUGACACGCUCCCAGAUAGACUAAAAUUCUCAAAGGACUUGAUGAUAAUUAGUUUGGUAGAAGAAAUUGACUACGAUGCUGGUAUCACAAGUAUACAUUUUAAACUUGAUCUUGUCACGACGACCAAGUCAACUACAGUAGAUGUCCACAUAAACAUUGAAGACCAAAAUGACGAAAGCCCCAAAUUUAAAAAAGCAGUUUACGUAUUUUCGCUGCUUGCUGGAUCUAAGGGGAAUAGUGUAGUCGGCGUUGUUGAUGUUACUGAUGGAGAUACAGUUGGGCAGACAACAUUUAGUCUGGAAGGCAGAAAUAAAGACGACUUCAGCAUAAACGACGAUGGUGUUUUGACAUCAAAAGUGGAUUUAACAAGAGGCCGUUUCCCUUCCGAGAUCCCCCUCCGGGUCAAGGCUUAUGAUGGCGUAUCUUACUCUGAGGAAGCCAACAUCACUGUCUAUCUCAUCUCCUACACCAUUAAUGCAGUCAACCUCAACAAGACAUUCCAUGGCAGAGUCAGUGAAAACAGUACCGGAGCAUUUGUGGCCAAUGUAGCAGUGUCAAACUAUACCGGCUACAAAUUUCCAAAUCCUCAGGCUGACAGAUUCUUCAGCCUAAAUUCUACGUCUGGGAACGUCACAACAACUAUUGGCCUAGACCGAGAGAACGACGACCAGGCGUAUACUGCAUUCACCAUUCAGGCUUACCUGGAUAGUGGCGACCAGUGCUCCCCUGUGACGAUUGGUCAACUCAUUACGAAUAUAACAGACGUGAACGACAAUGCGCCAGAAUUCUCUAGUCCUUCUUAUACAGGAAGAGUAAAAGAAAACUCCAUUCCAGGAACCCUGGUUGUUGGUUUGGUGGACAUAGCUGUUACCGACGAAGACGCUGGAGUGAAUGGUUCUGUAAACUUCGCUUUAACGGGACCUGGGAAGACCUAUUUUGCUGUUGAGAAAUUGAAUCACAACCAAUUCACAAUAAAAACCAGCGGAACCCCGAUUGAUAGAGAAUUCGAAGUAACUCCAUACGUAGUCCUGACAUUAACUGGAACAGACAAUCCAUCUAAUCCUAACACAGGCACCACUGCACUCAACAUCACAAUCAUGGAUGUCAACGACAAUGCACCACAGUUCAACGGCGGGUCGACCGUAUUUUGGGUGGAAGAAAACGUUGGACCAAAGACUAUCACAACGUUAACAGCCACAGACAGGGAUGAAGGCCUCAAUGCAAAGGUAUCAUACUCAUUGAAAGAUGGGGGAUUUGGUUUCUUCCAAGUUAACGAAAGCACUGGCGAAGUAUCGACAAUCAAGGCAAUAGACAGAGAAAAAAGGAAAGUCUUCAACCUGAUCAUCGAAGCAAAGGACCAAGGGUCGCCUUCUCUAGAAUCAGAGUUGAAUAUUACCGUCAAUAUUCGUGAUGUAAACGAUGAAAAGCCUACAUUUACGGAGAAAUACUACAAGGGUUCUUAUACGGAAAAUAGUCCAUGUGACAGAAGCAUCCUAACAGUGUCGGCAACAGACCACGACGAAGGAAUCAAUGCCAGCAUCACGUUCUCAACAACAAGUUCUAACUUUACAGUCAAUAACACCACUGGCGCAAUUGGAUGUGCGAUUCCUCUUGACUAUGAAGAAAUGCAGCAACAUCUGAUAGAAAUAAAAGCAGAGAACCCAGGGUUUCCCACAAUGAGCGACACAGUAAAAGUUGAGAUAAACGUUGAAGACGAAAAUGACAACAGUCCACGUUUUGAUAAACCCAACUAUCAGUCUGAGAUAACAACUUGGGAGUGGGUAACCAACAACCCUGUUGAUGUUUUUGAAGUCACGGACGAUGACUCUGGAACGAAUGGCCUUAUUAUACUCUCCAUGAGUGGGGAGACGGACAAAUUCUACAUUGAUGGAGACACUGUAGGUGUGUUACGCAUCAAAGAGGGCGCAAGUCAACCCGUUGCUUCCACAACAUAUAACUUUGAUGUUACAGCCACAGAUAAAGGUUCUCCAUCGCUAAGUGUCACAGUCCCAGUAUCAGUUGAUGUGAAGAAAAUACAAGGCAAUAGUACUGUACGGUUCAGUUCUAAAGACUAUACGUUUUCAAUUGUGGAGAACCGAUUAUAUACCACAUCUUUCGGAAGAGCAAAUGCUGCUCAUGACGCCAACGUGUCAGUUCACUAUACCUUAAUCCAUGGCGGGGAUUUCCGUAUUGAUCCAAGUAGUGGAGCGUUGACUUGCAGUAAAGCACAGGAUCGAGAGACAGUAGCAAAUCAUACCAUGGUCGUUCGUGCCAGGGAUAUCACCACUAACGCCUCGGACGUGGCUGUUGUAACAGUUCAAAUUUUGGAUGUAAAUGACAAUAGACCAAUAUUUCUGGCAUCUUCUGGACAGCUCGUCUUUCAAGUUAAGGAAAAUUCUACUGGCAAGGAGAUCGGACGCAUCAUUGCCAAAGAUGGGGAUGCAGAUGAAAAUGGAACAAUAACGUACAGCAUUGUAUCGCAGACACCUCGGACACAUUUCUCGAUAAAUCCUGGAAACGGCAUGGUCACUGUUUCGGGAGAUCUAGACAGAGAAGAUUAUGAUACAUACAACUUAAUCAUCAAGGCGACAGACAAUGGCGAUGCUCCGAGAACUGCAACAACAAGUGCGACUAUCCUUGUCCUGGAUAUCAACGACAAUCCCCCGACAUUCCAAACAACGUAUGCAGUGACAGUAAAGGAAGAUAGUGCCAUUUCCGCAUCGGUGGAGACAGUGAGUGCGACUGACGGAGACUUGGGGCAGCAUGGUGCAAUUGCAUACACUUCUAACACCGUAAUGGUGAACCAAACUGUCUGUCCAUUCAAUGUGUCAGUGGACACUGGAGUCGUGAAAGUGAGCAGCGACCUCGACUAUGAGACGACUUCAACAUAUGAAUGCAUUGUGACUGCUGUGGACAUGAAGGGAUGCAGCAGUUGCACAGGACGUCUCACUGGAUCGACAACAAUGUCCGUCACCAUCCUGGAUUUCAACGACAACCCACCGGUGUUUCAGGGGGCGCCGUACCGAGCCAACAUAUCAAGAGACGCUAACAUCAACACUCUCGUCACUGACGUCAUCACCGCAACUGACAGGGACAGCACCAUGGACGGCAAUGGAGUCGUUAAAUACCAUAUGUUUUCAAACAUCAACUACUUCAGGAUUGAUCGAAAUUCAGGAAGAAUAUACGUGGCUACAGCCCUAGACAAACUGAAUGAUGAUGAGGUCACUCUGAGGAUCAAAGCGACAGAUCUACCCCAAAAAGACCCUGCUAUGGAAGCAAUCACAAACAUUACUAUUUCCAUCCUGACCGAUGAGCCGCGACCAUUCUUCACAAAAACAUACACCUUCCUGCUGACGGAGAAUGAGAAGCCUGAUGACGAUAAACCGGUGUCCAUUAGAGCCUAUGUGCGAAGGCCGAGUGAAGAAGAGUGUAACUGCACCUAUGAUUUAAUAGGUUCAGAUAAUUCGAGCUUUUACAUAGACAGUAUGACUGGAGACUUGAAACAAAAGUACAUGAUUGACCGCGAAAAAACAGGCAGUCGUUUUUAUGUGAAAGUGAAGGCGACAGACCGACGCAGCCUUUUUUAUAGGACAACAGAUGUUGAAGUGAACGUUAAAGAUGUUAACGACAACUUACCCUACUUCAACAACACCCAGCAGAACUUCAUAGUAAAUCAGAGUGCUCCAGCUGGGCAUGUGAUCGGGAGAGUGAUGUCGGUAGACGCUGAUGAACUCAGUCACCCCAUAUACACAGCCUUUACUGAUGUUGAUGGCAUCGAACUGCUGGGUGAUGGAACUCUUGUUGUGAGGGCUCAUCUGUCGAGCUACACAACGGUUGAUAUGAUAGUGAGUGUGACAGAGGGCAACUUUACAGGACCAAUCAAUAUAUUGGCAGUAACUACAACAAAGGUCUCCAUAGAAGUGCGACCAGACGAUUACAUUGAACAUGCUCCCGUAUUUGGAAAAGCAACAACCACCCCAACGCCAUCAACGUGCGACCCCAUGACAGAUGCCUCUCUGGACGAGGACUGCUCAAACGCGCGAUGUGUGGCCGUAAACAGCUCGUGUGUGACGACGUCAGCGGGAAGCCGCAGAUGUGCCUGUGCUAACAAGAACGUGCAGAUAUCAGCUACAGAAUGCUCAAUGGGACCAAGUGUUCUGUCAAGUACCAAAAACUACAUCUUCUCCACAGAUCUAUCUAGAACGCCAGUAACUGUGGGAUCAAUCAUGUUUGAUGGGCUUAGUACAUUCCCCACAAAUACCUUCUCCAUAGAAGGCGAAGUAUAUCCUGAUGAGGGAAUCCUGGACCUAAAGAGAAACUCGAGGCUCAUUGAUGUGGCACUGGUCAAGGAAAUAAGCAGUGCUAAAACAUUUGUGGUAGCGUUACGAGCAGCUUCCAGUGAGUUCACUGUGCAGCAGGUUGUGACCGUCAGGAUCAAGUCCUCCUCCUUCACACCAGAAGACGUCACAGUUAUGUUGGUGGAGGGAACCAGGAAAGGCACGCUGAUAGCUGACGUGAGGACUAUUGGUAGUUUGGGAGGGUACAGCAACUUCGAAAUGGAGACCACAGAUCAGACAGCAAGGGCCCUGUUCAAUGUGACCAUAUCGGGGCAGGUUCUUUGUGGACAAGAUAUGUUUUUGAGUGACUUUACCAAUAACGAUACAGUAGCUAAAGAAUAUAUAUUCAGUGUCAAAGCGACAAAUGGAGGACAGAGAGCAACAACUGCAACCUUUUACAUCUUGUUAUUCAAGAGUACUUUUACAACAACGUUUAGAGAAAAUUGGACAGGCAAAAUCUUGAGCUAUACCAUAACAAGCCCUAAGUUCGAGGUAGCCAUAAUUGACACGCUUCCAGAUGGACUAGCAAAAAGCUUGACAGGCGUAAGGCUGGAGAAGGCAAUUGACUAUGAUGCUGGUGUCAGAAAUAUUGAUUUUAAACUUGAUCUAGUCACGACGAACAGUACAAAGUCAACUACAGUUGAUGUCCAUAUUAAAAUUGAAGAUCUAAAUGACGAACCUCCGAAACUUAAAAAAGCAGUUUACGAAUUCUCGCUUUUUGCUGGAUCUAAGAGGAAUAGUAUAGUCGGCGUUGUUGAUGUCACUGAUGGAGAUACAGUUGGACGGACAGCUUUCGAUUUGGACGGCGAAAAUAAAGGCUACUUCAGCAUAAACGACGAUGGUAUUUUGACAUCAAAGGUGGAUUUAACAAGAGGUAAGUUCCCCUCCACAAUCACUCUACGUGUCAAGGCUUAUGAUGGAGUAACCUACUCUGAUGAAAGCACCAUCACUGUCUAUCUCAUCUCUUACACCAUUCAUGGAAUCAACCUCAACAAGACCUUCCUUGGCAGAGUCAGUGAAAACAGCCCCAAUGGAACAUAUGCUGCUAACGUCUCAGUGUCAAACUAUACAGAUUUCAAAUUUGCAAACCCACGGGCUCAAGGAUUCUUCAACCUCAAUCCAGCAUCUGGGAUCGUCACAACAGCUAUUGGUCUAGACCGAGAGAACGACGACCAGGCAUACACUGAAUUCACCAUUCAGGCUUACAUGGAUAGUGGUGACCAGUGCUCCCCUGUGACGAUUGGUCACCUGAUUACGAAUGUAACCGACGAGAACGACAAUGCGCCACAGUUUUCCAGACCCUUUUAUACAGGAAGAGUGAAAGAAAACUCCACUUCAGGAACACUGGUUGAUGAUUUGGUGGACAUAGUUGUUACCGACGAAGACAGAGGAGUGAAUGGUUCUGUAAACUUCGCUUUGACGGGUUCUGGGAAAACCUAUUUUGCUGUUGAGAAAUUGAAUCACAACAAAUUCACCAUAAAAACCAGCGGAACCCCGACUGAUAGAGAAGUAACUCCAUAUGUAGUCCUGACAUUAACUGGAACAGACAAUCCAUCUAAUCCUAACACAGGCACUACUACACUCAACAUCACAAUCAUGGACGUCAACGACAAUGCACCACAGUUCAACCGCGGGAGGACCGUAUUUUGGGUGGAAGAAAACGUUGGACCAAAGAUUAUCACUACGUUAACAGCCACAGACAAGGAUGAAGGCCUCAAUGCAAAGAUAUCAUACUCAUUGAAAGAUGGGGGAUUUGGUUUAUUCCAAAUUGACGAAAUCACUGGCGAAGUAUCGACAAUCAAGGCAAUUGACAGAGAAAGCAGGAAAGUCUUCAACCUGUCCAUCGAAGCAAGGGACCAAGGGUCGCCUUCUCUAGAAUCAGUAUUGACAGUUACCAUCAAUAUUCGUGAUGUAAACGAUGAAAAGCCUACAUUUACAAAGAACUCCUACAAAAGUUAUAAUAAGGAAAAUAGCCCAUGUGACAGAAACAUCCUAACAGUGACAGCAAUAGACCAGGACGAAGGCAGCAAUGCCAACAUCACGUUCUCAACAACAAGUUCCAAAUUUACAGUCGAUCCAAUAUCUGGGGCCAUUAGAUGUAUGAUUCCUCUUGACUAUGAAGAAAUGCGGCAACAUCUGAUAGAAAUAAAAGCAGAGAACCCAGGGUUUCCCAAAAUGAGUGACACAGUAACAGUUGAGAUAAACGUUGAAGACGAAAAUGACAACAGUCCACGUUUUGAUAAACCCAACUAUCAGUCUGAGAUAACAACUUUGGAGUGGGCAACCAACAACCCUGUUGAUGUUUUUGAAGUCACGGAUGAUGAUUCUGGAACGAAUGGCCAAUUUAGGUUCUCCAUGAGUGGGGAGACGGACAAAUUCUACAUUGAUGGAGACACUAUAGGUGUGUUACGCAUCAAAGAGGGCGCAAGUCAACCCAAUGCUUACACAACAUAUAACUUUAACGUUACAGCUAUAGAUAAAGGUUCUCGGUCGCUAAAUGUCUCCGUCCCAGUAUCAGUUGUUGUGAAGAAAAGUCAAGGCAAUAGUACUGUACGGUUCAACUAUACAGAUUUUAUAUUUUCAAUUGAGGAGGAGAAGGUAUAUAACACAUCUUUCGGAAGAGCAAAAGCUUCUUAUGACGCCAGCGUGACAGUUAGCUAUACCCUUAUCCAUGGGGGUGAUUUCCGUAUUAAUAAUAGUAGUGGGGCGCUGACUUGCAGUAAAGCACAGGAUCGUGAGACAGCAGCAAAGCAUACCAUUGUCGUUCGUGCCAGGGAUCCCGCCACUAACGCCUCGGACGUGGCUGUUAUAACAGUUAUAGUUUCGGACAUAAAUGACAAUGCACCAACAUUUCGGGCAUCUACUGAACAGCUCGUGUUUAGUGUUCAGGAAAACUCUCCGGGCAAGGAGGUCGCACGCAUCGUGGCCGAUGAUAGGGAUGUCGGUGAAAAUGGAACAAUAACGUACAGCAUUGAAUCACAGAUACCUCGGACACAUUUCUCCAUAAAUCCUGAAAACGGCACGGUCACUGUUUCUGGACAUCUAGACAGAGAAGCCUAUGACACCUACAACUUAAUUAUCAAGGCAACAGACAAUGCAGAUGCUCCGAGAACUGCAACAACAAGUGCGACUAUCCUUGUCGAUGAUAUCAACGACAAUCCCCCCACAUUCCAGACACUGCAUGCAGUGACAGUAAAGGAAGAUAGUGCCAUUUCCGUAUCGCAUAUUGUUUGCACUUUGACAACAAAUACUGCGUCUACUUCAGGUGGCGACAGUUAGUGCGACUGACAGGGACUAUGCACAGCAUGGUAAAGUUACCUAUUUCCCUGACACCGUAAUGGUGAACGGAACUGUCUGUCCAUUCAAAGUGUCAGUUGAGACUGGAGUCGUGAAAGUGAGCGGCGACCUCGACUAUGAGACGACUUCCACAUAUGAAUGCAUUGUGACUGCUGUGGACAUGAAGGGAUGCAGCAAUUGCACAGGGCGUCUCACUGGAUCGACAACUAUGUCCGUCACCA
rnacentral:misc_RNA from 1 species